GACGAACGCUGGCGGCGUGCUUAACACAUGCAAGUCGAACGGUAAGGCCCUUCGGGGUACACGAGUGGCGAACGGGUGAGUAACACGUGGGUGAUCUGCCCUGCACUUCGGGAUAAGCCUGGGAAACUGGGUCUAAUACCGGAUAGGACCACUGCCUGCAUGGGUGGUGGUGGAAAGCUUUUGCGGUGUGGGAUGGGCCCGCGGCCUAUCAGCUUGUUGGUGGGGUGAUGGCCUACCAAGGCGACGACGGGUAGCCGGCCUGGGAGGGUGACCGGCCACACUGGUACUGAGAUACGGCCCAGACUCCUACGGGAGGCAGCAGUGGGGAAUAUUGCACAAUGGGUGCAAGCCUGAUGCAGCGACGCUGCGUGAGGGAUGACGGCCUUCGGGUUGUAAACCUCUUUCAGCACCGACGAAGCGCAAGUGACGGUAGGUGCAGAAGAAGGACCGGCCAACUACGUGCCAGCCGCCGCAGUAA
rnacentral:rRNA from 1 species